AUCAAAUAUAUUGUAGGUACAUGUGACUACGAAUGUUUAGCCCAUCUGUGUGUAAACAUGCAGUGUGAUAACGGGGACUCUAAAAUGUACUUAAAUUCAACUACUAAGAUAAUUUACGUGUGAUAAAGCACUUAGGAUACAUGUUAAAAUAUCCCCUCGGUAAAAAAGUAGUCAUUGAUUUAAAAUUUCGCACGCCUGUGUUUAUUUAUUGAAGUAUAGAAUACCUAUUUGUACGCCUAGUUUAGUGCUGCAAGUUCCCGAUGCAUUUCGUUAUUUAAGAGUAGAGAUCGUGUAUGAGAUUCGUUGGGUUAGGUUAGACUAGUUGUUUUGUAAGGCACGCAGAGGAUUUUAUAUUCGGGAUAUUGUAAAUAAGAUGGCUUGUAAUGAAACUACGCGUUAUGGAUAGCAUUCACAUUUUAUAUUCGUUUCGGUUCUCUUGGGAUAUUUUAACGUUAAAUAGGCACUAGUAUUAAUUUUAUUUAGUCCUAUUUAUGUUUAUGAUUAACCCGUAACCCGCACAUUAUAAAUGAAAUAUUUAGCUAAGAUAAUAAUUAUUGAAAUUGUAACAGAUGGACUAGUUCCGCGGUUCGUUUUACUAUAAUCAUGGAGUAUAAUUAUACAUAUAGGUAUUAUUUCCCAAUACAUAAACAGAGCUUGGUAAAAGUUUAUAAAAUGUAAUUUGGUGCUUAUUUUAUUAUAUCUGAUUAAAUAGAAGGCCCUCCACGACGUGAGAUGUUAUGAUUUUGUGUAUAACUAAAGCUAUGUGAAAGAUGUACAUAUAUGAUUAUAAUGAUUUUAUGUAAAUUGGUUAAUAAAUAUUUGAAAAUGUUUAUAUAAUCAA